rnacentral:rRNA from 1 species
AACGAACGCUGGCGGCAUGCCUAACACAUGCCAGUCGAACGAGACCUUCGGGUCUAGUGGCGCACGGGUGCGUAACGCGUGGGAACCUGCCCUUAGGUUCGGAAUAACUCCCCGAAAGGGGUGCUAAUACCGGAUAAUGUCUUCGGACCAAAGAUUUAUCGCCUUUGGAUGGGCCCGCGUUGGAUUAGCUAGUUGGUAGGGUAAAAGCCUACCAAGGCGACGAUCCAUAGCUGGUUUGAGAGGAUGAUCAGCCACACUGGGACUGAGACACGGCCCAGACUCCUACGGGAGGCAGCAGUGGGGAAUAUUGGACAAUGGGCGAAAGCCUGAUCCAGCAAUGCCGCGUGAGUGAUGAAGGCCUUAGGGUUGUAAAGCUCUUUUACCCGGGAUGAUAAUGACAGUACCGGGAGAAUAAGCCCCGGCUAACUCCGUG